rnacentral:lncRNA from 1 species
GAGUGAAUUGCUGCGUCCGAACUGCCCGUUCGGAUACUACAUGCUACUGCUACGUGCUACUGCUAGAUCCUACUCCUACAUACUAAAAACGUUGGCCCAAUUCGGACACACUAGACGAGCGGUGGGGAAAGACGACCCCCGCAGGCAGAGAGUAGGUACUGCGCCCGUGCAGACAGUGGUAACUGAAGCUCCUCAUCUGCGGGCCUGGCUGUAGUACUGCAGCUGUGCAGUUUAAUGAUGGAAUAAGUGAGCUUUACCUCCAUGAUGUCGCCACAUAUUUGCUCAUAAAAUGAUUACUUGGGCAAAUAUGACACCAUGACAUGACAAAGAGAUACAACCGCACAUUUUUUAGGACAGUGUGUGAAGUUACAUGAAACUUACAUCUGUACUGCUGCGGUCCCGCCUGCUGCUGCUGCUGCUGCUCCGACAUGGUGCGCGCUGCUGUGGCCAGCCGGCGUUCGCGACACUUUUAAAUAGGCAGAGCAGCUGGUGGCGCUAGCAUCACAUGCGCUUCUACAACUUUUAAGAGGACGAAGAAGAAGCCCGCGGUGCAUUUUGGGUCAGUAGCAUGCCCGUAGGAUGCACCGAGACCAACCUACAAUGUGGGCGUGUCUAGCAUCUGAAGUAGUAUCUGAAGUAGCAUGCUACUCGCUCCGGUGGCCAAUUCGGACAUGCUAGAUACUACUUCGACUACUACUUCGACUACUACUUGGCAAUUCGGACGCAGCUAAUGAGUGUUAAAGUGUGAAACCUCGUGCUGCGUCCGAACUGCCCGCUCGGAUACUACAUGCUACUGCUAGAUCCUACUCCUACAUACUAAACACGUUGGCCCAAUUCGGACACACUAGACGAGCGGUGGGGAAAGACGACCCCCGCAGGCAGACAGUAGGUACUGCGCCCGUACAGACAGUGGUAACUGAAGCCCCUCAUCUGCGGGCCUGGCUGUAGUACUGCAGCUGUGCAGUUUAAUGAUGGAAUAAGUGAGCUUUACCUCCAUGAUGUCGCCACAUGUUUGCUCAUAAAAUGAUUACUUGGGCAAAUAUGACACCAUGACAUGACAAAGAGAUACAACCGCACAUUUUUUAGGACAGUGUGCGAAGUUACAUGAAACUUACAUCUGUACUGCUGCGGUCCCGCCUGCUGCUGCUGCUGCUCCGACAUGGUGCGCGCUGCUGUGGCCAGCCGGCGUUCGCGACACAUUUAAAUAGGCAGAGCAGCUGGUGGCGCUAGCAUCACAUGCGCUUCUACAACUUUUAAGAGGACGAAGAAGAAGCCCGUGGUGCAUUUUGGGUCAGUAGCAUGCCCGUAGGAUGCACCGAGACCAACCUACAAUGUGGGCGUGUCUAGUAUCUGAAGUAGUAUCUGAAGUAGCAUGCUACUCGCUCCGGUGGCCAAUUCGGACAUGCUAGAUACUACUUCGACUACUACUUGGCAAUUCGGACGCAGCU